rnacentral:rRNA from 1 species
UACGUAGGGUGCGAGCGUUGUCCGGAAUUAUUGGGCGUAAAGAGCUCGUAGGCGGUCUGUCGCGUCGAUCGUGAAAACUUGGGGCUUAACCCUGAGCUUGCGGUCGAUACGGGCAUGACUGGAGUUCGGCAGGGGAGACUGGAAUUCCUGGUGUAGCGGUGAAAUGCGCGGAUAUCAGGAGGAACACCGGUGGCGAAGGCGGGUCUCUGGGCCGAUACUGACGCUGAGGAGCGAAAGCGUGGGGAGCGAACAGG